AAGACAUGCCACAAAGACAGCUGGAAAGGUAGUGGCUUUGUCCGUACAUUAUCAAGGGAGAUUAUUGUGCUUAUAGAGAUAGAGAAUGAACAGCCUUGACAGAUUGAGCAGACAAAGUAGAAUGACUUUUGGUAGAUUGGGAGGAUUGUGCAAGAUUUUAGCAAGGAACUGAUUGGACCUAUAGGGCCCUAGAAAGAUCUGGCCCUGAACUGAUCUUAGUAUUAUAGAAACUGCUUUUACUGUUUCAUGGUGAAUGUUUUCAUGUUUAGUAGUGUCCUGGUAUAUG